GACGAACGCUGGCGGCGUGCUUAACACAUGCAAGUCGAACGGAAAGGCCCUGCUUUUGUGGGGUGCUCGAGUGGCGAACGGGUGAGUAACACGUGAGUAACCUGCCCUUGACUUUGGGAUAACUUCAGGAAACUGGGGCUAAUACCGGAUAGGAGCUCCUGCUGCAUGGUGGGGGUUGGAAAGUUUCGGCGGUUGGGGAUGGACUCGCGGCUUAUCAGCUUGUUGGUGGGGUAGUGGCUUACCAAGGCUUUGACGGGUAGCCGGCCUGAGAGGGUGACCGGCCACAUUGGGACUGAGGUACGGCCCAGACUCCUACGGGAGGCAGCAGUGGGGAAUAUUGCACAAUGGGCGGAAGCCUGAUGCAGCAACGCCGCGUGCGGGAUGACGGCCUUCGGGUUGUAAACCGCUUUCACCUGUGACGAAGCGUGAGUGACGGUAAUGGGUAAAGAAGCACCGGCUAACUACGUG
rnacentral:rRNA from 1 species